rnacentral:tRNA from 1 species
GCGGGUAUGGCGGAAUAGGCAGACGCGAUGGACUUAAAAUCCAUUAGUAGCAAUACUGUGCCGGUUCAAGUCCGGCUACCCGCA